UACGGAGGGGGGCUGGCGUUGUUCGGAAUUACUGGGCGUAAAGCGCACGUAGGCGGACUGUUAAGUCGGGGGUGAAAUCCUGGGGCUCAACCUCAGAAUUGCCUCCGAUACUGGCAGUCUCGAGUGCGGGAGAGGUGAGUGGAAUUCCCAGUGUAGAGGGUGAAAUUCGGUAGAUAUUUGGGAAGAACACCAGGUGGCGA
rnacentral:rRNA from 1 species